AAUAGGCUAAUUAAGAGCGUAAGGGGAAUACCUUGGCUCUCAGAGGCGAUGAAGGACGUGAUAAGCUGCGAUAAGUUACGGGGAAUGGCACAAACAUUUUGAUCCGUAAAUUUCCGAAUGGGGCAACCCGGCAUAUUGAAGAUAUGUCACACUGUAAAGUGAGCAAACCUGGUGAACUGAAACAUCUAAGUAACCAGAGGAAUAGAAAACAAAAGUGAUUCCGCUAGUAGUGCGAGCGAACGCGGAAUAGCCCAAACCUAAAUUGUUACGGCAAUUUAGGGGUUGUAGGACCUCAACAUUUAAUGCUAAUAGAACUAGAAUUUACUGAAAAGUAAAACCAAA
rnacentral:rRNA from 1 species